AGUUCUCUCUCUCUCUGUCUCUCAUUCUCUCUCGGACGACGAAAGAGGAGGACGGGCCUGCCAGGAUCGUUAGGGGAAGGAGGUGGGCGGUGAAGGAGGAGGCGGCGAUGAAGGAGCGCGUCGUGGAGAAAGAGAAAGGUGGAUCGCGGUUUCCGGCAUCGAAGCAUCUCGCUGGCCUCGCGCACCAGUAUCGAAGUCUCCGAGCAACCCCUUAGAGAAAGAACGACCGACGCGCCACGCAGCGGAGGGUGCUGGUCGCAUUCCUUCCCCGACCGGCAAGAAGACGCGUACCUCUCUCCCAAUGGAACCUGAUUUUCUUGAUAACUGUGGAUUUCGGACUGACGAUCUCAACAGAGAGACACACGCCGGGGCUGACGAAACAUGGUCGUUUCGUCCACGGCCGUGAAACGACGUUUCCGGUUUUCGGGCGUUGUUCCGGUUGAAUUUGGAAAGAGGACUGUACGAUGGGGGAUGAUAUUAUGGAACACUACACGAUAUGGAAUACUGCUUUGUACUCGGAGGCGCACCACUAGAGAGUGGUUUUCGCAAUUUUGUGCGUAAAAUUUUUAAACAACACAUCAUUGAGUAUACUGCGAUACGAUUUGAAUUAUUCUUUCUUCCUCUCCUUCUUUUUCCCCGUGUAUUAUUAAUUCUGACAAGAUAGCUAUAAUUAUUCUCUCAUGUAAAUCACAGAAAAUUACAUCUUGCACAUUCUAAAUGAAUUCGUCUUUACCCUCCUGAUUUUUCCACAUCAGCGUGGGCGACUUUAAAAAAUGUCUCGGGGUGUAUUUGCCAAACAAAGUAAUUUAACACGAAUUAACAUAAAUCACUCAAGUUUCGUUCAUGGCUGUUCACUCGCUCGCGCGUUCGUCCGUUCCACUCGACAGUUCGCCAUCCCUCAACCAACCCCCGACCAGCCGCCACCCAUCAGUGUUACCCUCAUCCGAUUGGAGGCAACGGCCGAUUACAACGUCCCGGCAGAAAUUUUCAAUUUUCGAACUUUUCAGCCACGGGCUCUCGUACUUGUCCGAAUAAUUUCCAAUCGACUGAUUCCUUCCGCAAUAUCUUCGUCUUCCGUUUCACGUCAACAUCGAUGAGUUUACAAUUUUUUGACGUUGGACUGCGACACGUUGUAAACACUCAAUUUGCCAACUGUCAGUGAAGAUCAAGCGUAAUAGGUCGAGGAAUGAGGCAAGAGAAUUUAUAUGCUUAAAUUAUUCUCUGUAUAUUAUGCAGAAUGUGUAAUAAUUCAUAAAAUGUAUGUUAAUAAACCAUCAAAUAUUCGACUUUCUUAACGUAAAGG
rnacentral:lncRNA from 13 species